GACAGAGGUCCCGAGCGUUAGGCGGAAUCACUGGGCUUAAAGCGUGUGUAGGCGGAUCGUUAAGUACCUUGUGAAAUCCCACGGCUUAACCGUGGAACUGCUUGGUAUACUGGCGGUCUUGAGCCACUUAGGGGCUACCGGAACAAAUAGUGGAGCGGUGAAAUGCGUAGAUAUCAUUUGGAACGCCAAUGGUGAAAACAGGUAGCUGGGAGUGUGCUGACGCUGAGACACGAAAGCCAGGGGAGCAAACGGG
rnacentral:rRNA from 1 species